rnacentral:rRNA from 1 species
UACGUAGGGCGCAAGCGUUGUCCGGAAUUAUUGGGCGUAAAGAGCUCGUAGGCGGUCUGUCACGUCGGCUGUGAAAACCCGGGGCUCAACCCCGGGCCUGCAGUCGAUACGGGCAGACUGGAGUCCGGCAGGGGAGACUGGAAUUCCCGGUGUAGCGGUGAAAUGCGCAGAUAUCGGGAGGAACACCAGUAGCGAAGGCGGCACUCUGGGCCGGUACUGACGCUGAGGAGCGAAAGCGUGGGGAGCGAACAGG